GACGAACGCUGGCGGCGUGCUUAACACAUGCAAGUCGAACGGAAAGGCCCUGCUUUUGUGGGGUGCUCGAGUGGCGAACGGGUGAGUAACACGUGAGUAACCUGCCCUUGACUUUGGGAUAACUUCAGGAAACUGGGGCUAAUACCGGAUAGGAGCUCCUGCUGCAUGGUGGGGGUUGGAAAGUUUCGGCGGUUGGGGAUGGACUCGCGGCUUAUCAGCUUGUUGGUGGGGUAGUGGCUUACCAAGGCUUUGACGGGUAGCCGGCCUGAGAGGGUGACCGGCCACAUUGGGACUGAGAUACGGCCCAGACUCCUACGGGAGGCAGCAGUGGGGAAUAUUGCACAAUGGGCGGAAGCCUGAUGCAGCAACGCCGCGUGCGGGAUGACGGCCUUCGGGUUGUAAACCGCUUUCGCCUGUGACGAAGCGUGAGUGACGGUAAUGGGUAAAGAAGCACCGGCUAACUACGUGCCAGCAGCCGCGGUGAUACGUAGGGUGCGAGCGUUGUCCGGAUUUAUUGGGCGUAAAGGGCUCGUAGGUGGUUGAUCGCGUCGGAAGUGUAAUCUUGGGGCUUAACCCUGAGCGUGCUUUCGAUACGGGUUGACUUGAGGAAGGUAGGGGAGAAUGGAAUUCCUGGUGGAGCGGUGGAAUGCGCAGAUAUCAGGAGGAACACCAGUGGCGAAGGCGGUUCUCUGGGCCUUUCCUGACGCUGAGGAGCGAAAGCGUGGGGAGCGAACAGGCUUAGAUACCCUGGUAGUCCACGCUGUAAACGGUGGGUACUAGGUGUGGGGUCCAUUCCACGGGUUCCGUGCCGUAGCUAACGCUUUAAGUACCCCGCCUGGGGAGUACGGCCGCAAGGCUAAAACUCAAAGGAAUUGACGGGGCCCCGCACAAGCGGCGGAGCAUGCGGAUUAAUUCGAUGCAACGCGUAGAACCUUACCUGGGUUUGACAUGGAUCGGGAGUGCUCAGAGAUGGGUGUGCCUCUUUUGGGGUCGGUUCACAGGUGGUGCAUGGCUGUCGUCAGCUCGUGUCGUGAGAUGUUGGGUUAAGUCCCGCAACGAGCGCAACCCUUGUUCACUGUUGCCAGCACGUUAUGGUGGGGACUCAGUGGAGACCGCCGGGGUCAACUCGGAGGAGGGUGGGGAUGACGUCAAGCCAUCAUGCCCCUUAUGUCCAGGGCUUCACGCAUGCUACAAUGGCUGGUACAGAGAGUGGCGAGCCUGUGAGGGUGAGCGAAUCUCGGAAAGCCGGUCUCAGUUCGGAUUGGGGUCUGCAACUCGACCUCAUGAAGUCGGAGUCGCUAGUAAUCGCAGAUCAGCAACGCUGCGGUGAAUACGUUCCCGGGGCU
rnacentral:rRNA from 1 species